rnacentral:rRNA from 1 species
GAUGAACGCUGGCGGCGUGCCUAAUACAUGCAAGUCGAGCGAACAGAUGAGGAGCUUGCUCCUCUGACGUUAGCGGCGGACGGGUGAGUAACACGUGGAUAACCUACCUAUCAGACUGGGAUCACUUCGGGAAACCGGAGCUAAUACCGGAUAAUAUCUUGAACCGCAUGGUUCAAUAGUGAAAGACGGUUUUGCUGUCUCUUAUAGAUGGAUCCGCGCUGCAUUAGCUAGUUGGUAAGGUAACGGCUUACCAAGGCAACGAUGCGUAGCCGAACUGAGAGGGGGAUCGGCCACACUGGAACGGAGACACGGUCCAGACUCCUACGAGAGGCAGCAGUAGGGAAUCGUCCGCAAUGGGCGAAAGCCUGACGGAGCAACGCCGCGUGAGUGAUGAAGGUCUUCGGAGCGUAAAACUCUGUUAUUAGGGAAGAACAAAUGUGUAAGGAACUAUACACGUCUUGACGGUAACGAAUCAGAAAGCCACGGCUAACUACGUG